CCUCCUGAAAAUCAGUCUACUGGUUUUCCCCAAUAAUUUCUAUCCUUAAUGACCCUCUCUUUCAUCUUGUUUUUUUUUAUCAUUCAUUCUUGUCUUCUUGCUGAUUUUAGAUGAUGGGAAAUGCCCCUUGAAUCCUCACAGCCACCUAGGAACAUAUGGAGUUUUUACAAAUGCUGCAUUUGACCUGAGUCCUUAAGAGACCUGUCCUUUUCCUGGUCUCCUCAUUCAGCCUCCAUAUGAUCCUGUUGUGAACAUCAAGUUUCCUGCUACACUGGACUUAACUAUAAUGCAUUUGCUGCAGGUUUCCAUAAACACCCGUGAAUCAAAGACAUGGAAUUAGAUUAGCUCUGGACCAGCCUGUUGGACCCGCUCUGGACCAACCCUGUUUCCUGAGUUUGGGAUUGUGGUACAAUCUCAAAUUCUCAACCUACCACCCCUUCCUGUCCCACCUCUUCUCUUCCGUAACACAAGCCACAGAAGCCAGGAGCAAAUGUUUCUGCAGUAGUCUCUGUGCUUUGACUCACCUGUUACUUGAAAUACCAGUGAACCAAAGAGACUGGAGCAUCUGACUCACAAGAAGACCAGACUGUGGAGAAAUAAAAAUACCUCUUUAUUUUUUGAUUGAAGGAAGGCUUUCUCCACUUUGUUGGAAAGCAGGUGGCAUCUCUAAUUGGAAGAAA
rnacentral:sRNA from 1 species